AUGACCACUUUGGCAGCAUAUAUGCUAACACUGGAGAGAUACUGAGAAGACUAGCUUGGCCCCUGCCUGCUCAAGGGGGACAUGCAAAUUUAUGCAGAGUUCCAUAAAGGA
rnacentral:snRNA from 1 species